rnacentral:sRNA from 1 species
GGCGUGUUCCCCUCUGAGCCUGCGCGUUAAGAGUUGCAGUACCAAAAUGCGCAGACGCCAAGUUGGAGGCUACGACUUCAGUUUAGUAAGGAGAUAAAGGCUCCUUAGAAAGUGGGAUCCCAGGCCUUCUCCUACUCUUCAUUGGUUCUCCUGGGACAGAGUUGUCUAACUGACAAGUGAAGCCCACGUGAGGCCUAAGCUUGUUCUUGGGCUACUGUGUAGACUACCCAGGCAAGGGUUGAGGCAAGGAGGACGGGGUAGCAUCCACAUCCUGUAUCUCACAGCUGCUGAUAACUCCAGGGACACCAGACUGACUGCCUGGAAAUCAGUAUUCUGCUAGAAGCCUUCAGAUGAAG